rnacentral:rRNA from 2 species
GCAGUCGACGAGUUCUCGUUGAUGAUCGGUGCUUGCACCGAGAUUCAACAUGGAACGAGUGGCGGACGGGUGAGUAACACGUGGGUAACCUGCCCUUAAGUGGGGGAUAACAUUUGGAAACAGAUGCUAAUACCGCAUAGAUCCAAGAACCGCAUGGUUCUUGGCUGAAAGAUGGCGUAAGCUAUCGCUUUUGGAUGGACCCGCGGCGUAUUAGCUAGUUGGUGAGGUAAUGGCUCACCAAGGCGAUGAUACGUAGCCGAACUGAGAGGUUGAUCGGCCACAUUGGGACUGAGACACGGCCCAAACUCCUACGGGAGGCAGCAGUAGGGAAUCUUCCACAAUGGACGCAAGUCUGAUGGAGCAACGCCGCGUGAGUGAAGAAGGCUUUCGGGUCGUAAAACUCUGUUGUUGGAGAAGAAUGGUCGGCAGAGUAACUGUUGUCGGCGUGACGGUAUCCAACCAGAAAGCCACGGCUAACUACGUGCCAGCAGCCGCGGUAAUACGUAGGUGGCAAGCGUUAUCCGGAUUUAUUGGGCGUAAAGCGAGCGCAGGCGGUUUUUUAAGUCUGAUGUGAAAGCCCUCGGCUUAACCGAGGAAGCGCAUCGGAAACUGGGAAACUUGAGUGCAGAAGAGGACAGUGGAACUCCAUGUGUAGCGGUGAAAUGCGUA